rnacentral:rRNA from 1 species
CCUACGGGAGGCAGCAGUGGGGGAUAUUGCACAAUGGGGGAAACCCUGAUGCAGCGACGCCGCGUGGGUGAAGAAGCGCCUCGGCGCGUAAAGCCCUGUCAGCAGGGAAGAAAAUGACGGUACCUGAAGAAGAAGCCGCGGCUAACUACGUGCCAGCAGCCGCGGGAAUACGUAGGGGGCAAGCGUUAUCCGGAUUUACUGGGUGUAAAGGGGGCGCAGACGGCGAUGCAAGCCAGGAGUGAAAGACCGGGGCCCAACCCCGGGACUGCUGUUGGAACUGCGUGGCUCGAGUGCAGGAGGGGAAUGCGGAAUGCCUGGUGUAGCGGUGAAAUGCGUAGAUAUCAGGAGGAACACCGGUGGCGAAGGCGGCCUGCUGGACUGCAACUGACGUUGAGGCCCGAAAGCGUGGGGAGCAAACAGGAUUAGAUACCCCAGUAGUC